GGCAUGACGCAGGGAAGGAAAGCACACACAGAGAGAGAGGUGAAUAAGGGGUAAAGGGAAAGAUGGAAUGAGAUGGAGUGAUUAUGGCAAACAGGAUUGGAAGGCAAGCAGAGGAGCUGGGUAUUAAGGUCCUCCAUGGAUAGCAGCUCCCUCCUGACGAUGUGCUGAGCUGUUUUCACCACCCUCUGAAGGGCCUUACGGUUAAGGUCGGUGCAACUGCCAGACCAGACGGUGAUGUAGACAUCAGGAUACUCUCGAUGGUGCACGUGCAGAAGUUGCAGAGCAUCCUGGAGUCCAUGUUAAGCCUCUUCAGACUUUGGAGGAAGAAAAGACAUUCUCCUGCUGAUGUCAGUUGUUAUAUAGCUUGCUGGAGCUGAGGGAGAUCACACACACUGCGACGGACGGAGAGGAGAGCUGCUGGCCCUUCAGCAGAAAAGGAGGACAUUCUGUUAAACAGAAGAUAUUUUAUGUUUGAAAAGAGUUUUUGAGUUCAGUUGUAAAAUAAAGACUGUUAAACGUU